rnacentral:tRNA from 1 species
GGCUUGGUAGCUUAGUUUGUAAAGCACUUGUCUAUCAUACAAGAGUCAUCAUAUAAUUUAUCCAUCCUU